rnacentral:rRNA from 1 species
GCUAAGGCCGAUGGCGACCGGCGCACGGGUGAGUAACGCGUAUCCAACCUGCCUUACACUCUUGGACAGCCUUCUGAAAGGGAGAUUAAUACAAGAUGUUAUCAUGAGUAAGCAUUUUCGCAUGAUUAAAGGUUUACCGGUGUAAGAUGGGGAUGCGUUCCAUUAGAUAGUAGGCGGGGUAACGGCCCACCUAGUCUUCGAUGGAUAGGGGUUCUGAGAGGAAGGUCCCCCACAUUGGAACUGAGACACGGUCCAAACUCCUACGGGAGGCAGCAGUGAGGAAUAUUGGUCAAUGGACGAGAGUCUGAACCAGCCAAGUAGCGUGAAGGAUGAAGGUUCUAUGGAUUGUAAACUUCUUUUAUACGGGAAUAAACGAAUCCACGUGUGGAUUUUUGCAUGUACCGUAUGAAUAAGGAUCGGCUAACUCCGUGCCAGCAGCCGCGGUAAUACGGAGGAUCCGAGCGUUAUCCGGAUUUAUUGGGUUUAAAGGGAGCGUAGAUGGGUUGUUAAGUCAGUUGUGAAAGUUUGCGGCUCAACCGUAAAAUUGCAAUUGAUACUGGCAGUCUUGAGUACAGUUGAGGUAGGCGGAAUUCGUGGUGUAGCGGUGAAAUGCUUAGAUAUCACGAAGAACUCCGAUUGCGAAGGCAGCUUACUAACCUGUAACUGACAUUGAUGCUCGAAAGUGUGGGUAUCAAACAGGAUUAGAUACCCUGGUAGUCCACACGGUAAACGAUGAAUACUC